GGGUGCGUAGCGCAGUGGUAGCGCGUAUGCUUUGCAUUCAAUCGCCUAGCGAUUGGAAGUUGUAUAAGGUCCAGGGUUCAAUCCCCUGCGCAUCCA
rnacentral:tRNA from 1 species